AGUGAACGCUGGCGGUAGGCCUAACACAUGCAAGUCGAACGGCAGCACAGUAAGAGCUUGCUCUUACGGGUGGCGAGUGGCGGACGGGUGAGGAAUACAUCGGAAUCUACUUUUUCGUGGGGGAUAACGUAGGGAAACUUACGCUAAUACCGCAUACGACCUACGGGUGAAAGCAGGGGAUCUUCGGACCUUGCGCGAUUGAAUGAGCCGAUGUCGGAUUAGCUAGUUGGCGGGGUAAAGGUCCACCAAGGCGACGAUCCGUAGCUGGUCUGAGAGGAUGAUCAGCCACACUGGAACUGAGACACGGUCAAGACUCCUAAGGGAGGCAGCAGUGGGGAAUAUUGGACAAUGGGCGCAAGCCUGAUCCAGCCAUACCGCGUGGGUGAAGAAGGCCUUCGGGUUGUAAAGCCCUUUUGUUGGGAAAGAAAAGCAGCAGGUUAAUACCCCGCUGUUCUGACGGUACCCAAAGAAUAAGCACCGGCUAACUUCGUG
rnacentral:rRNA from 1 species